rnacentral:lncRNA from 1 species
UCCAAUCCCUCCAGCUCUUCUCACUGUCAGCUUACCACCACUACUUACACAAUUACAAUACAUUCACUUCCCUCAUCCGCGACUUAGCUUCCCAUUUCAGCAACCCCAGCAUUCCACAACACCAUUCCAAUUCACUUCACCAUCUGCCUUGGUAUCAUCGACGAGAGGAACCAGAGAGAGAGCCGUGCGAGCUUCGGUCCUUGAACUGUCCGAGAGAGGGUGAGAGCAAGAGAUAAUCGUGUGAGCUUCAUUGCCUCCUUCAUCAUCUGAGAGCUGCCAUUUCAUUCUUUACCUCAACCAGCGGUGAUCACUUCAACCUC